rnacentral:rRNA from 1 species
UACGGAGGAUUCAAGCGUUAUCCGGAUUUAUUGGGUUUAAAGGGUGCGCAGGCGGCCUGUUAAGUCAGCGGUAAAAGCCCGGGGCUCAACCCCGGCGAGCCGUUGAAACUGGCGGGCUGGAGUUGGAGAGAAGUACGCGGAAUGCGCGGUGUAGCGGUGAAAUGCUUAGAUAUAAGGAAGAACACCAGUGGCGAAGGCGGAUGACUGGACGGCAACUGACGGUGAGGCGCGAAAGCGUGGGGAGCAAACAGG